GGUUUUGUAAAAUUAAUCAAAAAUGCUGGUGGUGGCUGGCAACUUAAAAAAAAAAAAAAAAAACGCUGGAGAGGAAAGAGUUAAUAAUUUGCUUUGUCUUCAGUACAGUGAUGAUAUAAAACCCAGAUAUUUGUUUAGAAAACAACAUAUUUUUUUUAAUACCACAGUCAAUCGUUUUCCUAUAAAUUGAUCUUACAUGAAAAUAUACAGUAUUCUUUUGAUUUCAGCACGGAGAUCAUCACAUUUGGGCAGCACCACUCCUGUACUGUGCAGCAGAGGAAGCAGGAAGCAGAAGAAACCGAAUGAAGGAAUGGAACUGGAAGUUCCUCAGAUCCCAUGUCUUCUUCUCUUUUCCCAGGAUGCACUGUUCUCAGAACAGCCAGGAAGAGUCUUUCAUCUGUGUAGCCUGACCUCAGGGGAACGGUGACCGGCAUACGCCUGCUUCCACUCUAACACACGGAUAUGAGCGGGAAGAAAGGAUUUCUCACGAGACCUUUAGAAACCUGCCCCUCCACCACCCCCAUCCCUCCCUGAACCUCGUCUGAUCCAGAAGACUGCAGGAUUAUCGCUCAAGUUUCAGUUCAGGAUAGAGACCGAGAGCUUUCAGAGCGCCGACCGCUUGGCAGACGUGCAUCCUGUGCUGCAUGCAAAAAAAUUAAAUAAAAG
ensembl:lncRNA